ACCCAAGCAUUCUGAAUAUUGCAUUCAAUACAAGAGCAAUAGACUCCACUCCAAGACACAAUCAAAGCGAUCGAUCCACUCAAAGUCCCCAAAUCAACUCUAGUGCAUUAGGACUUGUGAGAGGAUCUCUUGUGUUCCUUUGUUGCUCUUGUUUGCUUGGCUUGGCCUUCUUUUUCUUUUCAAUUCUUACUCUCAAGUGCUUUGUAAGUAAGGCAAGAGACACCAAUUGUGUGGUGGUCCUUGCGGGGUCUAAGUGACCCGUGAGAUUAAGGAAGAAGGCUCACUCGGUCUAAGUGACCGUUUGAGAGAGUGAAAAGGUUGAAAGAGACCCAAUCCUUGUGACCACCUCAGGGACUAGGUUCUUUAGAACUGAACCUCGGUAAAACAAAUCGCCAUGUUCAUCUGCCUGAUUCGCUCUUGAUUUGUUUCCCCCUCUCUAUCGGACUUGAUUUAAGUUCUAACGCUAACCCCGACUUGUAGUUUGUGUUUUAAGUCAUAAAUUUCAGAUUACGUCUAUUCACCCCCCGUCUAGGUGACUUUUAGAAACCAUGUGCGGUGCCACGGGCGGGCGUCCGUAGAGCCCGGCUUUCUCCCAUAGCUUCUUUUCGACACCCGUCGUCGCAGCAGCGGCCGCCAUGUUGAUAGUCGGACGGGUGGCCCCCUUGUAGUCCCUCUAUAGGUGCACAAAUAUGGCCUUCUUAGACGCGAACAUCUUGUCACACUCGCACUCGAGAAACUUUUCCCCCAUGGUUAGAGCAAGGCCACGGCCUUGGCACGACGCGGGCUCGACAGUCGUGCCUUGGGCUUGGAUCUUCGGUAGCAGAGCCUUCGGCGGCUCGUCGCCUUCUGCGCCAUGAGCUGUAUCCUCCGCCGCCGCCGCCUCAGCAGCCAGGAGGUGGAACUGGAGAACUCGUGCGUUCAUGAUGAGGUCGAUCGUUGCUGAUCAGGGCGAGGAGUUAUGGUGCUGCUUCUGGGCGUGGGCAGGUGCGUGUGUGGCUAUAUUUGUUGCGAUCGAUGCGCCGACGAGCAGACCUUCCUAUCGAAGAAACGGAUUCUGGAACUCAACACCGAGAAGAUCAGAGUCGCUUCUCCUUUGUCACCUGGAAAAGAAAAAACAUAAUAUCAUAAAUUAGUAAAUAG
rnacentral:lncRNA from 7 species